rnacentral:rRNA from 1 species
GACGAACGCUGGCGGCGUGCUUAACACAUGCAAGUCGAACGAAGUGGCGAACGGGUGAGUAACGCGUAAUCAACCUGCCCUUCAGAGGGGGACAACAGUUGGAAACGACUGCUAAUACCGCAUACUGAAGGAGGGGAUUGCGUCUGAUUGGCUGGUUGGAGGGGUAACGGCCCAACAAGGCGAUGAUCAGUAGCCGGGUUGAGAGGGUGAACGGCCAAAUUGGGAAUGGGGCACGGCCCAGGAUCCUACGGGAGGCAGCAGUGGGGAAACUGCGGCAAUGGACGAAAGUCUGAAGGAGCAACGCCGCGGGAGUGAUGGAGGCCUUCGGGUUGUAAAGCUCUGUUAAUCGGGACGCGGUACCGGAAUAGAAAGCCACGGCUAACUACGUGCCAGCAGCCGCGGUAAUUC